rnacentral:rRNA from 1 species
ACGCUCGACACCUACGGAGGCAGCAGUGGGGAAUAUUGCACAAUGGGGGAAACCCUGAUGCAGCGACGCCGCGUGAGCGAAGAAGUAUUUCGGUAUGUAAAGCUCUAUCAGCAGGGAAGAAACUGACGGUACCUGACUAAGAAGCACCGGCUAAAUACGUACCAGCAGCCGCGGUAAUCUGAGCGGGCUGGCAAGGC